AAAAUAUGGGUACGAGGAAUGAUUACGGGAUUUAUUAAUUACUUAAGUUCUGGGAUCUAAUUAGAGUCCUCUUCCUUUAUUUAAUUAUUAUUAUAGUAUUUUAGGUGGGCUGGAUUAGGUCUUUAUGAGUCCAGCUUUGUUCAAGUUGUUUUCUUCAUUAUUUUGUAGCAUCCUAGUCAGUUAAGAGUUAAGACCACCUCCAAAGUAAGCUAUUGGCUGGAGGAGUUUUAGGCUUAGCUUGAGUCCUAUUUUGUGUCUUUUAUAUAAGUAUGUAAGGGGAUACAGCUCUGCACAUGAACUUGAUUAAUAGAAUUUGGCUUUUGCCUUUUGGGUCUGUGGUGACUCAGUACCUUACUAAUAUGGUGAUUUAGCAAGACCCUUGAUGCUGAUUCCAGCCCUGCAGAUCAGGUGGUGAUUCUUGAUCAUACCUUUUCUUUUAUUUCUUUUCUUUCCAACAAUUGCAUAUCAGUUUCAGUUCCUGUUAAGAGGCAUAAUACUUUACAGACUUGAUCAACUGCUUUGUAUUGUUCAUUCAACUAGAAUUUCAGGCUGAUCAGAAUUGUUUAGAACAAAUUAUCUGGUUUUCUCUCUAACUUGGUUCUAUCCCUAUACCUGCAAUCCUGUCGCAAGCUGCUCUCCCACACUGCAUUAGAGGCAAAAAGAGUACUCCUUCCAUUCCUCAUACAUUGUCCACUUUGGCAUUUUAGCUGUUACAAAAUGUUAGUCCGUUUCAAGAAUUUAAUGUAUGAAUUUUGGUAGUUUUGCCAUUUUACCCAUCAUCGCAGUAACGAAAACUACGAAUCCACAUUGAAAAUGGGACAACCUUUGAAAAUAAUUUAAAGAAAGUAGGAAUUUAAGUU